rnacentral:rRNA from 1 species
GACGAACCGUGCGAACGUUGUUCGGAAUCACUGGGCAUAAAGGGCGCGUAGGCGGGCCGUAAAGUCAGGGGUGAAAUCCUCCAGCUCAACUGGAGAACUGCCUUUGAUACUGACGGCCUCGAGUGGGGUAGGGGCGUGCGGAACUGAUGGUGGAGCGGUGAAAUGUGUUGAUAUCAUCAGGAACUCCGGUGGCGAAAGCGGCACGCUGGACCUUUACUGACGCUGAGGCGCGAAAGCCAGGGGAGCAAACGGGAUUAGAUACCCCGGUAGUCCUGGCCCUAAACGAUGGGUACUAGGUAGUAGACUUGACAUGAGUUUACUGCCGGAGCAAAUGUGUUAAGUACCCCGCCUGGGGAGUAUGGUCGCAAGGCUGAA